UCGCGGUUCCGGUUGCCAUUUCCGCGUAUGCGCGAUAAAACCCGGCCAGAAUCCCAACACUGCUCGGCGGCUGGAUCGUUGGAUUCGAAUCCUCGAUAAACGUAUACAAGCGCCUACCUAACGACUGUCCGCGGUGUUUAUCUUUUUGCCUCUUUGCGAUGGUUCGACCGAUUAGAAAAACGUUACACAGUUUCUUAUAGCAGAACCCUAAAGUAAUACCGAACGUCGAACAGUACACGAAGUUUAAAUCUCAACGUCUUCCUACUUCCUACGAACACGACGAGCUGAAAGCAGUUGAGACUCAGAAGCUCGCGAGUGAAAGAAACAACCUACGGAAGAACUGCAAGCGAAUUUUCCAGUAAUAAUUGAUAUCGACUCGACUAAGUAAUUAGAAUUAACUAGAAAUCUUGUACUCCAGUUGAAAGAUGAGUUACGAAACAGAAGUAGUACGAAGCCGAGUUGAAGUAACACGAGAAAAUAAUAUCAAGAUUAUUGGAGUGCAAUCUAUUAACGUGCAUUCAGCUAACGUGGAACUUGCCUUCAAUGAUAUCCAUUAAACGCACGAAAAACUGAAAGGAGUCGUAUCUGGAUACAAAAAUAAUGAGUUGUAUUGAAAGAGAGUGUGCAGGAAAUCUGGAAACGAUAAAGGGCUUGGAAAUCCGAUACGAGCAACUGAUGGACCAUGUCUUGUCUCAAUUACAAAAACUAAUCACGAAUUGGACCAUGUACGAAAGCAGCACGAGGAUGAAACCGUGACGCUUCACGGGAUGGUUAAGAAAGCGGAGUUGAAAAGCGACUCAACGGCGGACUCGAACAGAAGGUCGAACAGAAGACUGAGAAGACCAAAGAACUGACGCAUAUACUGGACGAUGUAAUCGCCAGGGUGGGCCUCCAGAACGCGAAGUAAAAUCCAAGAAUAUUUACAAGUUAGAUAAAAAAUCUUAUUACUUUAACUUUCAGUAUAGAGACGAAAUACAUAUAUCGAUAUUGCAUCGCGUACUUACUUUUCUAACUGGGUCAAUGCAUGGCCCCGCGUUUGCUUAUAUUGGAUUUCCAAACCUUUUAUCGUUUCCAGGUUCUCUUGAAUGUUCUCUUUCAAUGCCAACUCAUUGUAUUUAUAUCCAUAUACUGCAUCUUUCAGUUUUUCGUACCUUCGUUUGGACAUCGCUGAAUGCAACCUUCAUGUUAGUUGAACGCUUGUUGAUAGAUUGCACUUAUAAUUUUGUUAUUAUUUUUGCGCGCUUCUUUAAUUUAGGCAUCGUACUCCUUGCGUUACUGUAGCGCCGCUUUUAACUGGAGUACAACAGUUCUGGCUAAUUUUAACUAUUUAGUCAUGUCGAUAUCGAUAAUUAUUGGAACAUUCGCUUUCGAUUCUUCCGUAGGCUUCAAUUUUCCGUAUCUUACUGUUUUAAAGUUAUCUUUACAAGAAUAAUAUCUGGGAAAUUGAAAUUUGAAACGAGUAAUUGAAGUGCCAGUUAGAAAAAUAAGUACGUACGAUUACGUUGCGAUACCGAUGUAUAUUAAACUCUCAAAAUCUUUCAGAGGUCAUUACAAAUUGAUGUAUUACAUAGGAACAGUCUACGGAGCUCAGCACUUUAAAAUAAGAUUUUUUAUCUAAUGUUUGUACACGAAUAAUUAAGUACGACGAAUAAAUAAGAACGACGAACCAUAGAGAUUGUUAAAAUCGUUUAUUUUUAUCAAAUCACACAACAUGAUGUAUGUACAAGUCUUGUUUUUAAACGGACAUUGAAAUAGAUCCCGAACGCGAACAGUUCCGAAUCCCACAUAGAAUAUGUAUAUCACGAUAAAUACAAGUUUGAUUUGUCGUAGUCCUCGUCUCCGCGGUUGUUGUACAUAUUAGUAUAAAACCUAGUUUACAG